AUGCUUUGGCAGCAUAUAUACUAAAAUUGGAAUGAUACAGAAAAGAUUAGCACGGCCUCUGCACAAGGAUGACAUGCAAUUUGUGAAGUGUUUCAUAUUUUU